GGACCCAAAAUGUGCACCGUUGGUUGAUGUCACCAAAUAAUCAACUCGGGAUUAUUUUAAUCCCGUGGACAGUGAUUGUUUCCCCUAAAAGGGAAAUAAAUGUAGACUGCGAACACCCAAAACAAAUGUCUAGUGACCAUGAGUUACAAUGCAAAAAUCAGGCUCAGGGAAGGUAAAGAGAGAGUUGACCUUUAGUUACCCAUCUUGACGUUGGACGUCUAUCAGUGCAGUGAACAUGUGGACGGUUUAAGGUCAUAGAGCAACCUUUCUGGAAUAACGAAUACUAUUAGAAAGCAUAGGAAAGAAAUGUCUUGUCAAAUAAUGGAAGACUGGAUAGCAGCUUGGCCAAUCUUCUCACUCAGGUUGGUGCUUACUUUGGUUAUUGACUGCUUUAACCUCUGAUUAUGAAAGGUAUUAUGGGAACUUUCAGGGAAGGCUAUUGGGAUGUAGGAGCGAGCCAGGCCAAAUAGCAAGAUCUGAACCAGUGAGGAAACAACAGAGAAGGCAGGUCAGAUUAUCCACCAACCCAAUGUAGGCCCUUGGGGGCUUGAAAAGAGGGCCACUUAGUGGUGUUUGAGCCGAG
rnacentral:lncRNA from 1 species